rnacentral:rRNA from 1 species
GAUGAACGCUAGCGACAGGCUUAACACAUGCAAGUCGAGGGGCAGCACAGGUAGCAAUACCGGGUGGCGACCGGCGCACGGGUGAGUAACGCGUAUGCAACUUACCUAUCAGAGGGGGAUAACCCGGCGAAAGUCGGACUAAUACCGCAUGAAGCAGGGGUCCCGCAUGGGGAUAUUUGCUAAAGAUUCAUCGCUGAUAGAUAGGCAUGCGUUCCAUUAGGCAGUUGGCGGGGUAACGGCCCACCAAACCGACGAUGGAUAGGGGUUCUGAGAGGAAGGUCCCCCACAUUGGUACUGAGACACGGACCAAACUCCUACGGGAGGCAGCAGUGAGGAAUAUUGGUCAAUGGCCGGGAGGCUGAACCAGCCAAGUCGCGUGAGGGAUGAAGGUUCUAUGGAUCGUAAACCUCUUUUAUAAGGGAAUAAAGUGCGGGACGUGUCCCGUUUUGUAUGUACCUUAUGAAUAAGGAUCGGCUAACUCCGUG